rnacentral:tRNA from 2 species
GCCCCGGUGGUGAAACCGGUAGACACGCGGGACUCAAAAUCCCGUUCCGCAAGGAGUGUCGGUUCGAGUCCGACCCGGGGCACCA